GUAUCGGCCUAUCGUGGCAAUGACGGGUAACGGGGAAUUAGGGUUCGAUUCCGGAGAGGGAGCCUGAGAAACGGCUACCACAUCUAAGGAAGGCAGCAGGCGCGCAAAUUACCCAAUCCUAAUACAGGGAGGUAGUGACAAGAAAUAACAAUACAGGACUUUUUGGUUUUGUAAUUGGAAUGAGUUAAGUAUAAACCCCUUUACAAGUAUCAAUUGGAGGGCAAGUCUGGUGCCAGCAGCCGCGGUAAUUCCAGCUCCAAUAGCGUAUAUUAAAGUUGUUGCAGUUAAAAAGCUCGUAGUUGGAUUUCUGUUAAUAAUUUAUAUAAAAUAUUUUGAUGAAUAUUUAUAUAAUAUUAACAUAAUUCAUAUUACUAUAUAUUUUAGUAUAUGAAAUUUUACUUUGAGAAAAUUAGAGUGCUUAAAGCAGGCAUAUGCCUUGAAUACUCCAGCAUGGAAUAAUAUUAAAGAUUUUUAUCUUUCUUAUUGGUUCUAAGAUAAGAAUAAUGAUUAAUAGGGACAGUUGGGGGCAUUUGUAUUUAA
rnacentral:rRNA from 1 species